UGGGGAAUAUUGCACAAUGGGCGCAAGCCUGAUGCAGCCAUGCCGCGUGUAUGAAGAAGGCCUUCGGGUUGUAAAGUACUUUCAGUCGGGAGGAAGGUGGUAAGGUUAAUAACCUUGGCAAUUGACGUUACCGACAGAAGAAGCACCGGUUAACUCCGUGCUAGCAGCCGCGGUAAUACGGAGGGUGCAAGGGUUAAUCGGAAUUACUGGGCGUAAAGCGCACGCAGGCGGUUGAUUGAGUCAGAUGUGAAAUCCCCGGGCUUAACCCGGGAAUUGCAUCUGAUACUGGUCAGCUAGAGUCUUGUAGAGGGGGGUAGAAUUCCAUGUGUAGCGGUGAAAUGCGUAGAGAUGUGGAGGAAUACCGGUGGCGAAGGCGGCCCCCUGGACAAAGACUGACGCUCAGGUGCGAAAGCGUGGGGAGCAAACAGG
rnacentral:rRNA from 1 species